rnacentral:rRNA from 1 species
GUAACGCGUAGGUAACCUGCCUUGUAGCGGGGGAUAACUAUUGGAAACGAUAGCUAAUACCGCAUAACAAUGGAUGACACAUGUCAUUUAUUUGAAAGGGGCAAUUGCUCCACUACAAGAUGGACCUGCGUUGUAUUAGCUAGUAGGUGAGGUAAUGGCUCACCUAGGCGACGAUACAUAGCCGACCUGAGAGGGUGAUCGGCCACA